GAUGGUUUGGCCGAGUGGUCUAAGGCGCCAGAUUUAGGCUGUGGUCCGAAAAGGGCGUGGGUUCAAAUCCCACAGCUGUCA
rfam:Ipomoea nil DNA, scaffold: scaffold2844, cultivar: Tokyo-kokei standard.